rnacentral:snRNA from 1 species
AGGUGAGAGGGCGAUCUGGCUGCGACAUCUGUCACGCCAUUGAUCACAGGGGUUGAUUUGGCUGAUCUGACUUGCUAGGUGAAUGUACCCUUCCUCCCUCACUGCUCCUGAAGUGUGUCUCUCCUGAAGCUGCACAAUUGGGCGAAGAGGAUGGCCUUCCCAGAAUAGAGAAGGACUAGUCUUUAGUCAAGGGUAUAGGAGUAAGUGUGCUCGCCUUGUUAGUACCUCCAAACAAGCUCUCAAAAAGAGUUUAUGAAUGAAAAUAAAAUAUUCUAAGGCUUAAAGAGGAGGCCUAGUUG